UGGCUCAGACGUUAAAGCGUUUGCCUCCAAUGCAGGAGACCCAGGUUCAAUCCCUGG
rnacentral:tRNA from 1 species